UACGCGAGCUGGGUUUAGAACGUCGUGAGACAGUUCGGUCCCUAUCUGCCGUGGGUGUAGGAUACUUGAGAGGAGUUGCCCCUAGUACGAGAGGACCGGGGUGAACGAUCCACUGGUGGACCUGUUAUCGUGCCAACGGUAGUGCAGGGUAGCUAUGAUCGGAAAGGAUAACCGCUGAAGGCAUCUAAGCGGGAAGCCCCCCUCAAAACAAGGUAUCCCUGAGGGCCGUGGAAGACCACCACGUCAAUAGGCCGGAGAUGUAAGCGCAGCAAUGCGUUCAGUUGACCGGUACUAAUCGCCCGAUUGGCUUGAUCUGAUCCAG
rnacentral:rRNA from 1 species